rnacentral:misc_RNA from 1 species
AUGUGAUUGCAGAUUCCGUGAAUCAUCGAAUCUUUGAACGCACCUUGCGCUCUAUGGUAUUCCGUAGAGCAUGCCUGUUUGAGUGCCAUGAAUUCUCCCAUCCCAAGCGGUUUUUAUCAGAGAAUUGCUAGGCGAAGGGGUCGAGAUGGGCGCUGCUAUCACUGCUUUUCAUCACUAGAUCACCUCACCCGAAUGACCGCCAUCACAUCUGUUGCACUCUGCUCCCUCUUCGCUAAGAGGAGAACCGGCCAAGCUCGCUCCGAGCAUCAGGCUGAUCAUGAUACUUCAAUUUCUACGAUGUAAGAAAUCAUUUGUUUGGUCUGCUACCGCUUGCGUCAUUUUUCUUUCUUGCAUCCAAAAUUCACUUCUGGUCUCCAUUUCAUGUAGGAUCACCCGCUGAACUUAACCAUAUCAAUAAGCGGAGGAAUCAUAAACCGAAGAAAA